rnacentral:rRNA from 1 species
AGAGUUUGAUCAUGGCUCAGGAUGAACGCUAGCGACAGGCUUAACACAUGCAAGUCGAGGGCAGCAUAAAAGUAGCAAUACUUGGUGGCGACCGGCGCACGGGUGAGUAACGCGUAUGCAACCUACCUAUCAGAGGGGAAUAACCCGGCGAAAGUCGGACUAAUACCGCAUAAAACAGGGGCACCGCAUGGUGAUAUUUGUUAAAGAGAUUCGCUGAUAGAUGGGCAUGCGUUCCAUUAGGUAGUUGGUGAGGUAACGGCUCACCAAGCCGACGAUGGAUAGGGGAACUGAGAGGUUGGUCCCCCACACUGGUACUGAGACACGGACCAGACUCCUACGGGAGGCAGCAGUGAGGAAUAUUGGUCAAUGGGCGGGAGCCUGAACCAGCCAAGUCGCCGUGAAGGAAGAAGGAUCUAUGGUUCGUAAACUUCUUUUGCAGGGGAAUAAAGUGCAGGACGUGUCCUGUUUUGUAUGUACCCUGAGAAUAAGGAUCGGCUAACUCCGUGCCAGCAGCCGC